AGCGAACGCUGGCGGCAGGCUUAACACAUGCAAGUCGAGCGCCUGUAGCAAUACAGGAGCGGCAGACGGGAGAGUAACACGUGGGAAUAUGCCCUUCGGUUCGGAAUAACUCAGGGAAACUUGAGCUAAUACCGGAUACGCCCUUACGGGGAAAGAUUUAUUGCCGAAGGAUUAGCCCGCGUCCGAUUAGCUAGUUGGUGAGGUAACGGCUCACCAAGGCGACGAUCGGUAGCUGGUCUGAGAGGAUGAUCAGCCUCAUUGGGACUGAGACACGGCCCAAACUCCUACGGGAGGCAGCAGUGGGGAAUAUUGGACAAUGGGCGCAAGCCUGAUCCAGCCAUGCCGCGUGGGUGAUGAAGGCCCUAGGGCUGUAAAGCCCUUUCGGCGGGGAAGAUAAUGACGGUACCCGCAGAAGAAGCCCCGGCUAACUUCGUGCCAGCCGCCGCAGUAA
rnacentral:rRNA from 1 species